rnacentral:rRNA from 1 species
UAGGGAAUAUUGGGCAAUGGCCGAGAGGCUGACCCAGCCAUGCCGCGUGCAGGAAGAAGGCCUUCUGGGUUGUAAACUGCUUUUAUACGGGAAGAAAACGCCUUUGCGAAGGUAACUGACGGUACCGUAUGAAUAAGCACCGGCUAACUCCGUGCCAGCAGCCGCGGUAAUACGGAGGGUGCAAGCGUUGUCCGGAUUUAUUGGGUUUAAAGGGUGCGUAGGCGGCCCGUUAAGUCAGCGGUGAAAUCCCACGGCUCAACCGUGGAACUGCCGUUGAUACUGGCGGGCUUGAGUUCGGUCGAGGCGGGCGGAACUGGUGGUGUAGCGGUGAAAUGCAUAGAUACCACCAAGAACCCCGAUUGCGUAGGCAGCUCGCUGGGCCGAAACUGACGCUGAGGCACGAAAGCGUGGGGAGCGAACAGGAUUAGAUACCCCGGUAGCCCUAGCCGUAAACGAUGAGCACUUGGUGUGGCGGGUAUCGACCCCGCCGUGCCGAAGCUAACGCA